GUCCCCAUGGUGGAGUGGUCACUGCGCUCGCCUUGCACGCGGGAGACCCGGGUUCGAUUCCCGGCUGGGUCA
rnacentral:tRNA from 1 species